GUGGCACUGGGGCAGGCGGUGGAGAUGUGCCUGCAGCCAUCAGAAGUUCAGCAUGAUCCUGUCUUUCCUGCUGUUGCGUGCCAUUUCUAAGGAGGGGAAKAGUCCCAUGGGGAUGGGGAUGGAAAGGAAGGUAACCAAGCAAGAGGAUGACGUUUGCUGGCAGCUGAAGGAGGAUGAGGAGAGGAAGAACUCUCCAGCGGGGGGAAAAAGGAAUCUGCUUGAGCUGCAAAAACUAAAUGGAGUGAGGAGGAACGGGAUCCGGUGA
rnacentral:lncRNA from 1 species